CCGGAAGUACUGAGAAAGUGCGGAAAUUCCAUUAGAACAGGGUUGCCAGCGACCGGGAAAAACCGGGAAAAGUUAGGGGAAAAAAACCAACCGGGAAAAGUCAGGGAAAGUCAGGGAAUUUCGUUGUUGGUCAGGGAUUUUUCUGAUUUUUCGUGGAAUUAGGCGCGGGCGGUUCUAAAAAUUUAAAUAGUCGAAAAUAGCUCUCAUUUUCACUUUAACAGACUGCGUCAGAUCCAUACUUAAAAGUCAGGGGAAAAUAUUGGAAAGUCAGGGAAAAGUCAGGGAAUGGAAAAAAUGAUUUGGCUGGCAACCCUGUUAGAAGGUCCGGAAUUUUCCAUUUUUGUCGCAAUUUAAGAGAGAAAUUCAAUUUUUUUAAAUUUUUCGAAUUUCGUCGAAUAGAGGUACUGAAAAAGUACUGAACAUUUCCGUUGAGGAGGUACUGAAUUUCUCGGGAAUAUACUGAAAAAGUACUGUAAAAGUUCUGAUUUUUGGCCAGUCUGUUUUAGAAGACACCCUGCUGGUAGCCUUCCAGAGACUUGUUCUUUCGAAGCUUUCGGUCAUCCGAACUGCGAAGUUCAGUGUCUAUGAUUGGAAAAUUUAGCUACCUAACCAUAAAACAAAAACCUUUUUUUCUUACUUUACGUUUUCUCGGAAUCGUAUUAUCUUAGCAAGGCGUCGGAGUAAGAUGCUUUUCUGACGGAAUUAGGUAUGUUUUAUGUUACUUUAUUAUUUUAAUUUUAUUUAUUUAUUUAUUUUUUUUUUGCAGCGGGCCAGUGAAGUUGAGGGGAGAUGUUCGUGGAACAGCCUCCUUCUUUGUUGGGGACCAUGAGCUCUCUGGGCGGCUCCCAGCGGCGAACCCGCGCCUUAGCCGACAUCGUUCCAUCUUGCGCUAGUUUAAAGGGCUCACUGGAUGAGAGUCGGAGUGGCGGGAGUUUGCGAAUGACGUCAGUGACAGGGAGUUUCGAGGGUCGAUCGCGGUUCCCCAAGCUGGAGGACUGCGCCCACUUCCACUACGAACACGUCGAGCUGGGACCAAUCCAGGUAAGCCGCCUCGAGUACCCAAACGUUUCAUCCGACCAUCUUUUAAAGAAGGAAUAUGCACGUAAUCGAUAGUGGAAUCAGAAAAACACGCACAUGUGUUGUAGUAGAGUUUCGAAUAGAGACUUUUGUAGGGGACAGUCAUAAGACAAUUUUUUUUUUUUUUUUUUUUUUGCUGGUUUAGUGGCUUAUAUUCCGUUAGGACCUACAGCCAUCGAUAGACAUUAUUUAUUGUCCUUAGACAUCAUGGGAUUUAGGCACAUCCAUGCUCCAGGCUUUCAAAUUUUCAGGGAUUAAGGCCGAGUGGAAUCUGUUUCUGCAGAUCCACUCGUCAGUUCCAUGAAAAUUUGUCGCCACCACCGGGAUUCGAACCCGGGACCUAUUGACCUAGAGUCAGCGAAUUUUUGUAAAAAAGUGAUAAAAAAAACUCACUUGCGCUAAAUUAAAGCGAAGUGACGGAAGAACAAUUGGACCGCGUUUUGUAGAAAGGAACCAAGCCGUAUCGGCUGUUGCCAAAAGCGGAGCUUUUUCAUUUUUUAUUAAAGAACUUUUGUGCGG
rnacentral:lncRNA from 1 species